UCUGGGGAUAGGCUGACGAGCCGAAAAGUACAAGCCUUAGUACCUGCCCCGGUUUGACAUAAGGC
rfam:Lachnospiraceae bacterium A2 genomic scaffold acPFL-supercont1.1, whole genome shotgun sequence.